ACACUCCUACGGGAGGCAGCAGUGGGGAAUUUUGGACAAUGGGCGAAAGCCUGAUCCAGCCAUGCCGCGUGCAGGAUGAAGGCCUUCGGGUUGUAAACUGCUUUUGUACGGAACGAAACGGCCUUUUCUAAUAAAGAGGGCUAAUGACGGUACCGUAAGAAUAAGCACCGGCUAACUACGUGCCAGCAGCCGCGGUAAUACGUAGGGUGCAAGCGUUAAUCGGAAUUACUGGGCGUAAAGCGUGCGCAGGCGGUUAUGUAAGACAGUUGUGAAAUCCCCGGGCUCAACCUGGGAACUGCAUCUGUGACUGCAUAGCUAGAGUACGGUAGAGGGGGAUGGAAUUCCGCGUGUAGCAGUGAAAUGCGUAGAUAUGCGGAGGAACACCGAUGGCGAAGGCAAUCCCCUGGACCUGUACUGACGCUCAUGCACGAAAGCGUGGGGAGCAAACAGGAUUAGAUACCCGUGUAGUCCCAU
rnacentral:rRNA from 1 species